AGGACAGAGACUCCCUGACUCACCGUGGCAGACAGGCAGGAGGAGGCCCGGAAGGGAGGGAGCCAGCAUGCCUGCUGUGUCAGCAGUCAGAGCCUGACCCGGACAUCUUGUGCGGAAAAACUCCGGAUAAAUGGUUUCUGUGCCCACCAGUUCUGCCCUCCCAACAGCGAAACCAGUCCCGCCAGCCAACGGGACUGGUCAAUGCAACAGGAGCCACUGGGAGGGACUGGGAGGGACUGGGUGUCAUUAUCUAGUUAACUAAACCAAGUCCCUUCACUAUAAACCUUAGACAAGGUAAAAGGGAGGUAACUUGUUUUAUGUCUUUACAGGGGCCCAAUUAAGUUUUAUGAUUUCUUUUUCUUUUCUCUCUCCGGGUUGUGUUGACCUCAGGCUGUUUUCUUUUUAUGUACCUCAAAUCGUUCUCCCUUUUACCUUGUCUAAAAUUUAUAGUGAAGGCACUUGGUUUAGUUAACUAGAUAAUAACACCUUUCGUAAAAGUUGAUAACUGUGUAGAUAACAAGCACCCAUCUGCUCAGUGUCUGACCUGACAAUGUGUAAUGUUUUUGCUGUUGUGUAAUGAAUGUACAUAUUUUAUUUAUUUACACGUAUUAUACAUUUGUAUAUAUAUUAUUGAGAUAAAUUGUAUAUCAAUAUAUUAUAUAUAAUUAUAUAAAGACUUUUAUAUAU